GAGCACACCACUGCCGAGGGCAGUCAAGUACCCAGGACUUGGACUGUCUACUGUGAUGACUUUUGAGGGAGAACAGGGCUUUGUGCAAAGACCCUUACACUGCAAGAACCUCUGUGCUCCCCAAAUGACUCCAACAAGGAUGAGCAUAUUGCCAUGGCAACCAAAAUACAGAAGCUGGGAAAGAGACAGUGGAAGGGACACCCUCCAGCACCUCUGGGAGACUCUGCAGACCCUUCAUCACCAAGGCUUUGUCAGGAGGUUGGUAUGCCCUCAAAGGACUAAAAUCCAGGUUUGGGAUAUGGUUGGAGCAGCCCUGACCCUCCCCCUCCAGGACCAGCUGCCACUGCAUAUAUGCACAUCAGGAGAGAGGAAGUUAGUGGGGACACAUGGUGAAACUUCUG